rnacentral:rRNA from 1 species
GAUGAACGCUAGCGGCAGGCCUAAUACAUGCAAGUCGAACGGUUGUAGUGAUACAAUAGUGGCGCACGGGUGCGUAACACGUAUGCAACCUACCUUAUAGACGGGGAUAGCCUUUGGAAACGGAGAUUAAUACCCGAUAGUAACAUUGGUUGGCAUCAAUUAAUGUUUAAAGAUUUAUCGCUAUAAGCUGGGCAUGCGUCCAAUUAGGUAGUUGGUUAGGUAAUGGCUGACCAAGCCGAUGAUUGGUAGGGGAACUGAGAGGUUAAUCCCCCACACUGGCACUGAGAUACGGGCCAGACUCCUACGGGAGGCAGCAGUAGGGAAUAUUGGGCAAUGGAGGCAACUCUGACCCAGCCAUGCCGCGUGCAGGAUGAAGGCGUUAUGCGUUGUAAACUGCUUUUAUAUAGGAAGAAAUAGACCUUGCGAGGUAAGUUGACGGUACUAUAUGGAUAAGCACCGGCUAACUCCGUGCCAGCAGCCGCGGUAAUACGGAGGGUGCAAGCGUUGUCCGGAUUUAUUGGGUUUAAAGGGUGCGUAGGCGGUUUAUUAAGUCAGUGGUGAAAGACGGUCGCUCAACGAUUGCAGUGCCAUUGAUACUGGUAGACUUGAGUGAGAUUGAGGUAGCUGGAAUGGAUAGUGUAGCGGUGAAAUGCAUAGAUAUUAUCCAGAACACCAAUUGCGUAGGCAAGUUACUAAGUCUCAACUGACGCUGAGGCACGAAAGUGUGGGUAUCAAACAGGAUUAGAUACCCUGGUAGUCCGCACUGUAAACGAUGAUAACUAACUGUUGGCUUUCGGGUCAGUGGUACAGAGAAAUCGUUAAGUUAUCCACCUGGGGAGUACGCCGGCAACGGUG